UACGGGGGGAGCAAGCGUUGUUCGGAUUUACUGGGCGUAAAGGGCGCGUAGGCGGUCGUGACAAGUCACUUGUGAAAUCUCCGGGCUUAACUCGGAACGGUCAAGUGAUACUGUCGGACUAGAGUACAGAAGGGGCAACUGGAAUUCUCGGUGUAGCGGUGAAAUGCGUAGAUAUCGAGAGGAACACCUGUGGCGAAGGCGGGUUGCUGGGCUGAUACUGACGCUGAGGCGCGAAAGCCAGGGGAGCGAACGGG
rnacentral:rRNA from 1 species